rfam:Triticum aestivum genome assembly, contig: Triticum_aestivum_CS42_TGACv1_scaffold_147352_2BS
GCCGGGAAGAGGAAGAGAGAGUCUCUAAGAGCAUUGGGAAUAUGAUCAUGGAGGAAAGUCUGGAGCUUGAUUUCUCCUCCAGUAUCGGAGGUAGAGAUUUGCUUUAUGUUUUCCCGAUGCCUCCUAUUCCUAUCGAUCUUAGGUACGCCUUCCUCUUGCCACUGGCU